UACGGAGGAGGCAAGCGUUAUCCGGAAUUAUUGGGCGUAAAGCGUCCGUAGGUGGUUGGCCAAGUCUGCUGUCAAAGGGUGGGGCUUAACCUCAUAAAGGCAGUGGAAACUGGCGAGCUAGAGUGCGGUAGGGGUAGGGGGAAUUCCCAGUGUAGCGGUGAAAUGCGUAGAGAUUGGGAAGAACAUCGGUGGCGAAAGCGCCCUGCUGGGCCUGCACUGACACUGAGGGACGAAAGCUAGGGGAGCGAAAGGG
rnacentral:rRNA from 1 species